UUUUUUUUUUUCCUUUUUUCUUUUGUCUUUUUAGGACUGCAACUCGUGGCAUGUGGAGGGUUCCCAGGCUAGGGUGAGGCCCUAAAAUAAACACACAUAUGUAUGUGAGCUGUGGUGAAGGUCACAGACAUGGCCAUAUAUAUGAGUUCCCACUGUGGCAUAGUUGGGUAAAAAUCCAAUUGCAAUGGCUCAGGUUGCUGAGGAGGCACGGGUUCAAUCCCUGUCCCGCACAGUGGGUUAAAGGAUCCAUCAUUGCCGCAGCUGUGGCUCAGAUUCAAUCCCUGGCCCAUGGAACUUCCAUAUCCCCAAGGGAGAGGCCAUUAAAAAAAAACAAUAACUAAAUAUAGCACUACUAUAUGUUCUAGCAAUCCCACUCCUGGGCAUAUAUCUGGAGAAAACCAAAAUUCAGAGAUAAUGCACCCCAAUGUUCAUUGCAGCACUAUGUACAACAGCCAAAACAUGGAAACAACCUAAACGUCCACUGACAGAAAAAUGGAUAAAGACGUAGUACAUAUACAUACAAUGGAAUAUUACUCAGCCGUAAAAAAAGAACAAAAUAAUGCUAUUUGCAGCAAGAUGGAAGGAUCUAGGGAUUAUCAUGCUGAGUGGUCAGAAAGAGAAAGAUAAAUAUCAUAAGAUAUCACUUACAUGUGGAAUCUAAUAAAAAUGAUACAGAAGAACAUAUUUAUAAAAUAGAAACAAACUCAUAGAUUUCAAAACCAAUCUUAUGGUUACUACAGGUGAAACAGCUGGGGCAAGAGAGAAAUUGGGAGGGUGGAAAUAACAUAUACACACUACUGUAUAAAAUAGAUGAUUAAUGAGAACCUAUUGGAUAGCACAGGAAAAUCUACUCAGUAGUUUGUAAUAACAUAUAUGGGAAAAAAGAAUGGAUAUAUUUAUAUACAUAACUGAUUGACUUUGCUGGAUACCUGAAACUAAUACAAUGUUGUAAGUCAACUAUACUCCAACAAAACAAAAAAAGAAAGAAAAUAGUUUGACAGUAUAAUAAUAAUAAUAAAAAAAUCAACUAAAAACAAAACAAAAAUCCACAAAACAAAACAAAGAUACUUGUGUCUCCUAAGAGGAGCUAUCCAGGUCAAGCUCUGGACCAGCCUCUGCAACCUGUUUUUCUUCAUUUCAUCCUCAGAGUAACUAAAUGAGUGAAGAAUUAUUGCUAUUUUACAGAUUAGGAAACUGAGACCCUGAGAAUUUGAAAUGACUAAUUCUUUAUUAGAAAGUUCAACCACAGUCGUGACUCAGCAGAAACGAAUCUCACUUGCAUCCAUGAGGACAAAGGUUCGAUCCCUGGUCUCGCUUGGUGGGUUAAGGAUCCGGCAUUGCUGUGGCUGUGGUGUAGGCCUGGGGCUACCACUCUGAUUCCACCCGGAGCCUGGGAACCUCCAAAUGCCCCAGGUAAGGCCCUAAAAAGACAGUUUGUAAAUAACCUCUGUUUUAUUAAAAAUAAAGGAAAGGAUGCCCUUACUCUUUCAUUCUUGAGUGGAAAAACUGCGAGGGUGACUUUUUUUUUUUCCUCCAUAAUCUUCACUCCAUUUAAUCUGGUUUGUUUCAACUGGUAGGAAGAGAAAAUGAGGUAGCUAACAGUAAGACUACAGAACACCUACUUUUCACACGCUUAUUAAUGCAUAAGCAACAUCCAUCACAACUAGAGAAAGAUCUCAGGCCUCCCACAUUUCUUCCUCUAAACAAGCAGGAGAAUCGCUGCUGACACUUAGGCUUAAAUCUGGGGACACCAAACACCCCUGCCUGAGGGAGACAUAUCUGAAUGCCCUGGCUGCACACCUGGAAUUGCCAGGGGAGCUUUAGAAACUACUCAUGCCCGAUCCCAUCUGAGGUGAUGAUAAAAGAGCAGCCGAGGCUGAGAACCACAGUCCGAAAGCAACAGAACCAAGAGUUAAACACAAGACAAAAUAAGUGUAUUGAGAAAGAUGAAAAAAGAGAACUGUGUCUCACAGUAAGUUAUGUGGCAAAUGAUUUUAAAAGUGAUCUACACAUUUGCAUUCUAUCCAACUGCCCCAAGAGCAAGCACUCUGGCUGAACCAACCCUGAGUUCCAUCACGGUAACACACAGCUCACUCGGUCUUUCUGAAUCUCUUCUUCCUUGUCUAAAAAAUUAAGUCAAUAAUACCUACCAUGCAGAGUUGUCUUCAAUAUCAAAUGAGAUAACAAGGCACACAAGACACUUAGCAUGCAGCCCUUAAUAAAGGUUUCAGCUUUCUGAAGUUUCUCUCCAUUUGGCUAUUCUAGGCUCCAAACCAUUCAUUUAUUACGUCUGAGUCACCAUUCAUUGCAAAACCUAGGCGUUUCUGUCCUCUAGCACUUUCCCUUAAAAUGAUCUUGAUUCAUAAGACUAUGUGCAGAGUAUUUAUAUUCAUAAUCCAAUUCUCACAUAGUUAAGAGUUCACCUGAAACCACCCUUCUCAAAGAGGAUGGUUCUGUUAAAUAUGGACACCUAAAUAAGAUUUUUGAAUAACUGAGUAAAUGCAUGAGGUUCGCAUAGACACUGAAAUAACUAUUAGUUCCUUUUCUUCAAUAAAUCAAUAAUAAAUACGGGCACCUAUUUGUGAGCACCUAUUAUGUGCCUGGCAUUGUACCAAGCAUUCUAUACACACAGCCUAACUGAACCUCAUUUAAUUCUUAUAAAGCCUCCUCGGGAAAGGAAUUAUUUCGCUCAUUUUAUAGAUGAUGAAAUUGGAUCUCACGGAGGUGAAAUAACUUACACACACACACACACACACACACACACACACACACAGCAAACAGGAACUUUCUAGAGCUUGAACCCAGAUCUCUCAAAAAUUCCAAAGUCAGUCCAUAAUUGUGUCUUGCAGGGUAUAAAACAUUUCCAAUAUAAAGUGUAUAUGUAUGUAUACUUAAUAUACAAAGUAUUCAUAAAGAGCUUUGUGCAUAUGUGCUUUAAAAGAUUUAAGUAUAAAUUGCAUUGUAAAAAAAAUUUUGUUGGAGAAUAGCUGAGUUACAAUGUUGUGCUAGUUUCAGGCGUACAGCAAAGUGAAUCAGUGUACAUAUCUCUCCACUUAGAAUAGCAUCAUAAAAUUAAUUUCUAAAUCAAUACUGAAAUUCAUGCAGUUUCUAUGGUUAGCAAUUGGUAUUAAUUUACCCCUCAUCAGUGUUAGAAAGGUUCUACAGCCCCUCCCCCCAGUCCUUUUAUACUAUUCAAGCUUUUUAUUAGCCCUAAUGUUGAUUGCCUUCCCAGGGCAUCUACUGGUUUGCGUAUAAUUUGUCUAAUUAAAUUUAAAGAAGAGAUGUUUCAGGGAGCACCGUUUCAUCAUUUCCUCUUAUACUCCAUGCUGUGGACUUUAAUGAGGACCUAAACCCCAUCUUAACUCAGCCUGGGUUUCAGCACAGAUGAGCUGUGCUUGUUAAGACAGUCUUCAGUUGUCAGGAAAAAUAGCUUUAUUAAGGUCAUGGAAUGCCGAGAGUUUGAUUAAAGCUAAUCAAGGAAGAAAGCCAGGCAGCGGCACGGUGGACCGAGUCUCGGUACAACAUGUUUAACAUAACUUAACCCAGCCUAUCUGUUAAAAGGAGACAUAAAGAAGAUCAGGUUUCCCAAAAGAAUGCACGAACAAAUGCAAGCAUAUUACAUGGUGUAAUGUAUCUCCUGAGUUUAAGGUGAACAACUCUUUCAAAAAGCAGCAUAUACUUUAAUAAGUCACAUGGAUGCAAGUGACAGGAGAGGACUGUCAAUAGCCCCUGGUGUUUAAAAGGGUGGUGGGGGGGGAAUUACUUGUAUUCUUCAGAUCUAAAAAGUGAUCUACGGAUAUGUGGGAUCUAUGGAUAUGUCUGGCCAAUAAUGGCACAUUAGAGAUCACCCUUCUUAAUCUCAAAGUCAGGCUUCCGGCUCAGACAACCUGCAUGACUGUUACUAGCAUACAUAACAUGGAGACAUUCAAACUUUAACAAUGUUUUGGAAAGCUUUUCUAAGUAGGGUUUUAUACAACUGUUUUAGUGUUAUAAAAUGAAACAGUUGGGUAACAAGAAGGAAUAGAAGGAAUCUGGAAAUCUGAAGACCUAAGCUAUAGUCCUGAUGCUAAAGUAACUGGUCACAUAACCUUUCAAAAGCUUCCUAGCCUGGGCUAUGCGGGCCUCGAUUCUUCAAAGAUGCAAAUGAGAGUAUAUGGACUUCAGGAUCUCUUAAAAUCUAAAAGUUCUAUGAUGCCAUGGCAGUCUCCUUUCAAAUCUAAAGUUCUAUGAUGCUAUUAAACUCUACUGCAGUCUUCACACCAUUUUCUUCCUAAUUUAGGGCAAUGGAUUAACACAAAAGGCCACCCUAUAUUGCUACUCAAUACUGAAAUUUAAGUAAUCCUAAUUCAAAUAGUUACUGUAGGGAGUUCCUGCUGUGGCUCAGCAAUAACAAAUCCGACUGGUAUCCAUGAGGAUGCAGGUUCCAUCCCUGGCAUCACUCGGUGGGUUAAGGAUCUGGCAUUGCUGUGGCUGUGGUGUAGGCCAGCAGCUGCAGCUCUGAUUUGACUCCUAGCCUGGGAACUUCCAUAUGCCACAGGUGCAGCCCUAAAAAAAUAAAAUAAAAAUAAAAAGUUACUGUAGAGAAUGGAUGAAGCCUUGAAGAAUUUCAAAAAUGAGAACCAAGGGUCCUGAUAAUGACAAUGAUGUCUUUUCUCUUUGUUAACACUGUUCUUACUUUUCACUUGCUCUCAUUUUCCCUGCUGGGUGUGUAGGUCCAGGAUGUAUUAUUAUUAACACAUAUGCACACACUUUUUUAAAAAAAAUAUCUUAAUAGCUAAUUGCAUGAUACUCAUUUUAGGCAGAUUCCAUGUCAAAUUCAUGACUAUCAGUCUACAGUAUUAAUGACUAAUAAAUAUUUUAGCUUAAUCAUCAAAGAAUCUUAAAGUUAUACCAAAGAGACUCCACAUCCUAUGUUGUAUCUUGUAUAGCUGAAACAGCUAAGAAACUUCAUGAGACAAGUGCACUUGAGAUUUUAGAGUUCCAUGGAGUAAAAUGGACAUCAGAAAAUAACAGACCUUGCUUUCCACUACAGCCUGACUCACCACCUUUUUCUGAUUUACUGGAGGUAAUGGGAUACAGAGGCUUAGGAAGAACAGAGGAGAGCUGUGCAUAAUGGGAUUUCAAUAAUCUGAUUUUCCUAAGAAAAGAAAUUGAGAAGCAAGAGAUAAAGGAUUUUCUGUAUACACACACAGACACACACACACCACAUACACACACUUACACAUCCUUAAAGCACCCUGUAGGUCCCACAGCUCUUCUGUAUCCCUUAGGUAUCAUGUAAUCAUUAUUUAAAAAAAAAAAAAAAACCCACAAAGGCAAGGAGGGCAAGUACUAUUAUUUCCAACUUUUAAGAAAUGGAGGAGCAAAGAAAUUAAGUGACUCCAUUAAGAAAUUAAGCGCUUUCACAUACUUUGUUAAUGGCACUACCGCAGUACCAGAAGCAGACGCCAGGUCUUCUGAAUUCUUAUCUAUUGCUGCCUAUUUACAUUCACUUUUUUAAAAAACUCAAUAAAUAUUUAUUGAGUGCCAGUUAUGUGUCAAGCACUAUUUCUAGAUAUUACGAAAACAACAGUGAACAAGACCAAUAAUGUCUUUUCCCUCCUAAAACAUGCUAGUGUACAUAUGCAUGUAUUUACAAUAUGUAUCGUUUAAUAUAUAUGGCUUUUCAUACUCUUUUCUAUACCAGCCAGUUUAUGAGACUCAUUAAAAAUUAAGAUCACAUAUAAAUAUUUAUUAUUUUUUAAGAACCGCACUCAUUAGGUCAGCACAGAACAAAUAAACCCGAGCCACUCCCCCUCCCUUCCUUCCUCAUUCCUCCACACAGCUAGCCUUUUAAAACAAUCUAAGUAAAUAGCAAAGUAACAUCUAUUCGAGUUACACAUUUGUUCACAUGCUGAGAAGGAAAAAAAAAAUUGACUAUAAAAGUCUUUAGAAAAAGGAGAGGCUCAAAAUUAUGGAGAGGGCUUUCUUUAAGAUCAUUUUAAGUACACACACAGAAUCUUAAAGAAAACACAUGGACAUCUUGUUUGGAAAGUUCUUUUUCCCUUUCUUCUUUUUAAUCUACACAAAGCACCAUCUUAAAAAGCCUGAGUUUGGGGGGGGGGGGUUGGUCUGCCCCACAUCUCUAGUUCUGUUGCUGAAUGAAAGAUGGACAGGAAAUUAACGCAGUGGUAGGGAAUUUCUUGCCAAGAGUGAACUCUGAAACAAAAGACUCACUAUUGUGAAAGAAAAUCUGACAUCUGUACCCUCGGCCAUGUUCUAAACUUCAGUAAUCCUGCAGUAUGAUCUGUGAUUUGUUGUAUGUUUUUAACGUAUAUAUCUAAAGUGCUGGGUUACUCCUUGUCUUCCGACUCCUUCUAAAAGAGGUGUUAGUUUCUUUGUUCCUCCUUUCUCUCCUGGCUUAAUUGUCUUUCUAGCAGCAACAGAGUUAGUCAGUGGAGUUGACCAACUUCCUCCUUUCACC
rnacentral:lncRNA from 1 species